GCCGUCAUCGUCUAGCGGUUCAGGACAUCGCCCCUUCAAGGCGAAUACGCGAGUUCGAGUCUCGCUGGCGGCACC
rnacentral:tRNA from 1 species